rnacentral:tRNA from 2 species
AGGGGGUUAGUCCAAAUACAAGACCUCUGAUUUCGGCUCAGAAAAUUAUGGUUUAAGUCCAUGAUCCCCUU